AGUUUAAAGUAAAUAAUUUAAAUGAAUCCUGCCCAGUGAAUUUUAAAUGGCCGCAGUACCCUGACUGUGCUAAGGUAGCAUAAUAAAUUGGCUUUUAAUUGAAGUCUGGAAUGAAUGGAAAUUUGAAAAAAAACUGUCUUAAAAAUAUUUUUAUUAAUUUAAUUAUUAGGUGAAAAUACCUAUUUUUAGAAAAAAGACGAGAAGACCCUUAGAAUUUUGAUAAUAUUAAAAAUAUUUAAUUUAUUUUUGUUGGGGCGACAAUUAAACAAAAUAUAACUUAAAUUAAAAUUAUAAAACGAAAUUGUUAUAAUAGAAUAAAUUACCUUAGGGAUAACAGCAUAAUUUUAUUAAAAAGUUUGUGACCUCGAUGUUGGACUAGGAACUUUAUGACUAGCAGUUAGAAUAGAUUUGUUCUGUUCGAACAAUUAAAUCCU
rnacentral:rRNA from 1 species